rnacentral:rRNA from 1 species
AACGAACGCUGGCGGCAGGCCUAACACAUGCAAGUCGAGCGAGGACUUCGGUCCUAGCGGCGGACGGGUGAGUAACGCGUGGGAACGUGCCCUUUGCUUCGGAAUAGCCCUGGGAAACUGGGAGUAAUACCGGAUGAGCCCUUUGGGGGAAAGAUUUAUCGUCGAAGGAUCGGCCCGCGUUGGAUUAGGUAGUUGGUGGGGUAAUGGCCUACCACGCCGACGAUCCAUAGCUGGUUUGAGAGGAUGAUCAGCCACACUGGGACUGAGACACGGCCCAGACUACUACGGGAGGGAGCAAUGGGGAAUCUUAGAAUAUGGGGGAAACCCUGAUCUAGCCAGGCCGCGUGAGCGAUGAAGGCCUUAGGGUUGUAAAGCUCUUUCAGCUGGGAAGAUAAUGACGGUACCAGAAGAAGAAGCCCCGGCUAACUCCGUG